rnacentral:rRNA from 1 species
UCCUACGGGAGGCAGCAGUGGGGAAUAUUGGGCAAUGGAGGAAACUCUGACCCAGCAAUGCCGCGUGAAUGAAGAAGGUCUUCGGAUUGUAAACUUCUUUUCUCAGGGACGAAGAAAGUGACGGUACCUGAGGAAUAAGCCACGGCUAACUACGUGCCAGCAGCCGCGGUAAUACGUAGGUGGCAAGCGUUAUCCGGAUUUAUUGGGUGUAAAGGGCGUGUAGGCGGGAGCGCAAGUCAGAUGUGAAAACUCAGGGCUCAACCCUGAGCCUGCAUUUGAAACUGUGUUUCUUGAGUGCUGGAGAG